UACGUAGGGAGCGAGCGUUGUCCGGAAUUACUGGGUGUAAAGGGAGUGUAGGCGGGAUCGCAAGUCAGAUGUGAAAACUAUGGGCUUAACCCAUAAACUGCAUUUGAAACUGUGGUUCUUGAGUGAAGUAGAGGUAAGCGGAAUUCCUAGUGUAGCGGUGAAAUGCGUAGAUAUUAGGAGGAACAUCAGUGGCGAAGGCGGCUUACUGGGCUUUAACUGACGCUGAGGCUCGAAAGCGUGGGGAGCAAACAGG
rnacentral:rRNA from 1 species